rnacentral:rRNA from 1 species
GGAUAAUCGGGAGAAAUCCCGUCUAAUACCGCGUAAUGCCGCGGGGCUGCAUGGCCCUGCGGCCAAAGGGAGCGAUUCCGGCAACGGAUGGGCAUGCGUGACAUUAGCUAGUUGGCGGGGCAACGGCCCACCAAGGCGACGAUGUCUAGGGGUUCUGAGAGGAAGGUCCCCCACACUGGUACUGAGACACGGACCAGACUCCUACGGGAGGCAGCAGUGAGGAAUAUUGGUCAAUGGGCGCGAGCCUGAACCAGCCAAGUCGCGUGAGGGAUGACGGCCCUACGGGUUGUAAACCUCUUUUGUCGGGGAGCAAAUUCCGCCACGUGUGGCGGAGUCGAGAGUACCCGAAGAAAAAGCAUCGGCUAACUCCGUGCCAGCAGCCGCGGUAAUACGGAGGAUGCGAGCGUUAUCCGGAUUUAUUGGGUUUAAAGGGUGCGUAGGCGGACUGUCAAGUCAGCGGUAAAAUACGGGGGCUCAACCUCCGCCCGCCGUUGAAACUGACGGUCUUGAGUGGGCGAGAAGUAUGCGGAAUGCGUGGUGUAGCGGUGAAAUGCAUAGAUAUCACGCAGAACUCCGAUUGCGAAGGCAGCAUACCGGCGCCCGACUGACGCUGAAGCACGAAAGCGUGGGUAUCGAACAGGAUUAGAUACCCUGGUAGUCCACGCAGUAAACG